rnacentral:rRNA from 1 species
UGCCUAGGAAUCUGCCUGGUAGUGGGGGACAACGUUUCGAAAGGAACGCUAAUACCGCAUACGUCCUACGGGAGAAAGCAGGGGACCUUCGGGCCUUGCGCUAUCAGAUGAGCCUAGGUCGGAUUAGCUAGUUGGUGAGGUAAUGGCUCACCAAGGCGACGAUCCGUAACUGGUCUGAGAGGAUGAUCAGUCACACUGGAACUGAGACACGGUCCAGACUCCUACGGGAGGCAGCAGUGGGGAAUAUUGGACAAUGGGCGAAAGCCUGAUCCAGCCAUGCCGCGUGUGUGAAGAAGGUCUUCGGAUUGUAAAGCACUUUAAGUUGGGAGGAAGGGUUGUAGAUUAAUACUCUGCAAUUUUGACGUUACCGACAGAAUAAGCACCGGCUAACUCUGUGCCAGCAGCCGCGGUAAUACAGAGGGUG